GACACGCACCUUCACGUGCCGGUGCGUGAUGAACAAAAGAACCGUAUGAGCGGUGUGUGGCAACCACUCGCUUCACAACCAGAGGCCGGUGACGACUGGUUUGGCUGGAAAAUAUACUCCGCCUCCUUCUGUGGUGGUGAUAGUAGACUGACCACUUUAAAUCAGUGGAAUAGAAAUCCAAACUUCUUCCGUAACACAACCAAAACGAAACGAGCCUAUAAGCUCUGAUACCAUGUAAUUGAAUGGAAGAUCUUAUUCUUAUUCCAGUAGGUAAACAGUGAAUAAAUACAAUACAUAAGGUGCAGACUAAAGAAAGAAAUUAAGAGUGAUUCCCAUAGAGCUGCAGUGAUCCCUAUAAAUCUACUGCCUAUAUAGCUAUAUUACUAAGAUUAAGUCUAUAUACAUUCUAUAACAAUGAGUAUUUUCUUUUGAUAUUCUCAGUUUUAUUUACUUAUUGAUUUAUAUACAUUAUUGGAAAAUGUUGUAUGCGUUUUUUUUAUGCAACCCAGAAAAGAUUUUAAAAGUACAUAUCUUUUAGGGCAAAGUGUGCAAUUUUUGUAACUCUAGUUUAUCUAGGUCCUAGGAAUCACUUGGUGAAACUUAGUUCUUGUGGAAUUCCUAUCAAGUCAGGGUCUUGGGGAACCAAGUCAGAACCAUGAGGAAUCAAUCAAUUACGUUGAAUGUGCUUAGAGAUGUAUCAUAUGAUACCAGCCGACAUGUCUCAUGCCACCAAAAUGUUGUUACCGUGUGGGUAUUGGUCCAAUAACUGCAGUUUCCUGAAAAGUGCCUCUUUCCAGGGCGAAGGACGUUAAGAGCUUGCAAAAAAAUUGCUGAAUCAAUCCCUAAAUAGUACUUAGAAUAGAAUUUCUUUUCACCGAGUAAUAAGCAUGAAUAAAAAGUAAGCUCACGUGAAUAUUGAGUUAUACCUGUGAGUUAUUUUGUUAUGAAUCAUGAGCUUAGAUGAUUAGUUGGCAAGUAAAUAUCAAUAGCGGAUGAGGUAAUUACUUAGGGUUUUUAUUUUGGCGCAAUGUAGGUAGUCUCUACUGCAUAUUAUUCAACUCUUGUGGAGCUCUCUCGAAGGCUUUUUUUUGUGACAUGUACUUUAACUUUAUGCUUAUCUCAGCACUUCUAAAAUUUUGGAGUUUGGACUUGUUUAGUUACGUAAAUGGUUCAUUUGUUCUUGAUAAUUCAUUAUACUGAAAGUCCUAUACACCCAACUAAAUAUCCAAUUUAGAGUGGUAACGAAUCUUUAGAAGACCAAGAUCACACUGAACCAAUAAAAUACCCACUACCUUUUCCAAUUAGGCAUCUAUAACUGUGGUAAUUCGGAACAUUUCCAGUUAGUGAACUUUUAUUCGUUCCUUUAUUAUUUAUUCUAUUCUUGUGCUCCUUAAUCUUCUCUCCUCUUUGUUUUACUUGAAUUUAAGCCUCCAAUAGUAGUCCUGUUUCCUGUCUUGAUUUUUAGUCAUAUUCUUCUACCCUUUCUAUAGUGAGACCCAGAAAUGGCUCAAGGUACUUGUGCGAUUCUUAGUAUGCAUCGCUCCUUAACAGCCCCCCACUUUGAUGCCUUGAAACCCAAGUAUUCUGGUCCAUAUGUCAAGGAUACAGCCAAGUUUGUAGCCUGUCCAACAUCACACUUUGGUAUUUAAUAAGAUCAUUCUUUCAGUCAUUUGUUCGCUUAUCUCAACAGUAAAGUCAACUAUCAAUGUGAUUUGAUUUUCUGACUGGCUUAUAAAUUGCUUGAUUUUCAUACUAGCUUUUGUUGAGUUUAGUUGGUGAUGUUAUUUAGUUUGGGAACAGGGAGACAGGUGUUUGGAAUUUGUGUAGGGUUGCAUUCUGUUAAAUUGUAAAGAUAUUGAAAUCACAAUGAACCAACAUAGCACAAUCGAUCUGAAACAUGGAUGGGACUUCAUGCAAAGGGGCAUUACAAAAUUGAAGAACAUUCUAGAAGGGCUGCCUGAGCCUCAGUUCAGCUCAGAGGACUAUAUGAUGCUGUAUACGUAUCCUUUUAGACUCCCACACUGUUAGGCAUGUUGAUAACUUGGAUUUGAUUCACCUUUUGUUUCCUUAAUUCUACUAACAGGACAAUUUACAACAUGUGUACUCAGAGGCCCCCACAUGAUUAUUCUCAACAGCUGUAUGACAAAUAUCGUGAACCUUUUGAAGAAUAUUUCACAACAACGGUAAGGGUAGCUGCAGUUUUCAUAAGCAUUUCACUUUAGUAGAGAUUAAACAAGGUACUACAAUAAAACAAGAAAAAAAAGAAUUGAAGAAGUAUUAUUCUUAAUAAUUCUUUGAUGUUUGUAUAUCCAUGUACCAUUCUUGAUUGUUUGCUCUCUAUGUAUCAUUCUGGAAUGUUUGGAACUUAUAAAAAUGAUUUCUGUAAUAAAGAAACAGAAAAUCAUUAGUCUGGUGAGCCCUUUGUUGCUGUUUUAUUUUUUGAUUUUAGCGAUGUAAACAAAGUGGGGUUAGUAUGGGUAGUUUCCGUGGUUCCCUCUGUGAUUUUAUUUUAUGCCCUCUAUUAUUUUAUUUAAUAAGGAUCCAUGUGCAAGUAUCAACAUUUUUAUGGGAUCUGAACGUAAUUCAAGCAUUGCUUUCCCAAGAGGCAUAUUAUCUUUUAGUUUUAUUCCCUCUAUCAUGAGAUUCAAAUUUAGAAAGGCUGCUCUUGCUGCUUCUUCAUCCCAUAGAAUAUUAAGAAAAGGAUACGGGGAAAGUGGAUAGAAGUUUCAAAACACAGCUAAAUUUCAUGGAUCUUUUUGUAUGUUAUUUUAGGCAUGCAAUUUUGCUUAGGAGUUUAAAAUGAUGAAAACUCAAAUUUGGCUUAAAGAUUGUUUACCUAAUUUUUGUUUCUCCAAAUAAUUCUACCUUCUCUAAAUUUGACACUGCAAUUCAAUUUCAAAAUAGGUAUUGCCUUCUUUGAGAGAAAAACAUGACGAGUUCAUGUUGCGAGAGCUGGUAAAACGGUGGUCAAAUCAUAAGAUCAUGGUCAAAUGGUUGUCUAGAUUCUUCCAUUAUCUUGACUGCUAUUUCAUUGCCCGGAGAUCUCUGCCGGGGCUUAAUGAAGUUGGAUUAACUUGCUUCCGUGAUCAGGUAAUUAUGGUUCUCCUUCUCUUUUCAAUCAAAACUUUGUUUCUAUGGUCAUCUAUUAAAACAUCUCCACCUGAUCCCUUGGUCAAAGCACUGAGUUCAGCUCAUGGCUUCUAUAGUGAUUUUUUUUAAUUCUGUUUUCUGGGUUUUGCCUAUUCUAGAAUUCGGUUUUCAGUUUGACAGUAUACUCAACUGCUUCCACGUCCUUUUACGAAAAGAUGUUACCAUUUAGUCCCUGCAUCUCAAUUAUGUGAAGGUGUUUGACUGGGCACACAGUUUAAGAGAAAAAGAAAGAAUUUUGAAACUUGUGGUAUAAAGUAAGCUAUAGAAACUUUGUGAGUAUAAAGUAAAACAAGAAAUGUGAAUUUAAAUUGUUACUUAUUAUGGAUAGAUGUCCCUUUUUUGAGGACUGACUAAAAUAUAAAGAGUAUCACAUAAAUUGAAACAGAGGUAAUAUCUUACUGGGUGACUGUUUUCUAUUUUAGGUCUACCAAGAGUUGAAUGGAAAAGUCAGGGAUGCUGUUAUAUCUUUGGUAUCUCCUUUGUCUUGCUUUGAGUUCUCACUACCAUUUCUUUUUUCCUUUUAAUUGAGCAAUAACAUUCCUCUAACCAGAUUGAUCAAGAGCGUGAGGGAGAGCAAAUUGACAGAGCUCUACUAAAGAAUGUGCUAGAUAUAUUUGUUGAAAUGGGAAUGGGGUCGAUGUAUUAUUAUGAGUACGAUUUUGAAGAUGCAAUGCUCAAGGACACUGCGGCUUAUUAUUCUUGCAAAGCUUCUAACUGGAUCCUCGAAGAUUCAUGUUCAGAUUAUAUGCUAAAAGUUAGUAUACCGCGUAUGCAACCCCUUGAUUCUGCCAUUCUUGCCCUGUUGUUUCUUCUGUCUAUCUUUUUUCUGGUUAAUGUCCAUAUGUUAACCUACAUAAUCAUGUCAAUGUUACUUUAGGCUGAGGAGUGCUUGGAACGAGAGAAGGAUAGGGUCUCUCAUUAUCUCCAUUCAAGCAGCGAGACAAAGUUGCUUGAGGUUCGUUCUAGCUCUUAAUCUUUUUUCUUUACUGGAACUUUAGCCUUCAAGAUGGAGGAUGUUGCUAUCAGUUUUUGUUGUUCACAUCUUCUUUUUUCUGGAUCUAAUCUAUCAACUUUAAAUUAGUUGCAACCUUACUAGUCUCUCCUUUCUACAGAAAGUGCAACAUGAGUUGUUGUCUGUGUAUGGCACUCAACCUCUUGAGAAGGAGCACUCUGGAUGCCAUGCGUUACUAAGAGAUGAUAAGGUAGCUAGCAGCAUCUUAAUGACCACGUUUCGGAUUUUAUAUUUGCAGUAAUUGACACAAUCAUGAUUAUUUAAUUAGGUUGAAAAUUUAUCAAGGAUGUAUAGGUUCUUUUCUAAGAUUCCUCAAGGCUUAGACCCUGUGGCCAAUAUUUUUAAGCAGGUUUGUGAUCUCAUGACAUCAUAUUCUCGAUUGUAUACCAAUAAGUUACUUCACAUAUCCUUCUUUUUAAUCUGAAUGCAGCAUGUUACUGCUGAAGGUGCAGCUUUGGUAAAACAGGCUGAAGAUGCUGCUAGCAACAAAAAGGUUUGUACAAUCUAUCCUUUUCAAAUUCUUUGGUCUUGAGAAAUUUGGUUCUUCCUUAUUUGGCGUUUAUACACUUUGAGUUGACUUGGAACUUGUCAAACUAGAAGUUUUUGCUAUUUUAAUAUGCUAAGUUACUUGUGUUCAAGUGUCUGAUCAACUUAAUUUCAUAUUUUAGCACACCAUUUCUGACAUCAAUACUUUUAAGUUUAAAAGCUAUCUACUCUAGCUCCCAAGUCUUAGGAAAUACAAAUACCCCCUGCCACUCAAGUUUUAGAAAAUACAAACUAACCACUUACUAUAAAUAUUUUAGAAAUUUUAAAAAAAUUACAACAUCUGUUUCUUACCCACCAAAAUCUCUCCUUCCUUGCCAAUUUUCUGUCAUCCAGCUUGUUUUCCCGCAAAAAAUUGAAGCAUUUCACUGGAAAAUUACUCCACAUGACGAAAACCUCCUCAAGAUCAGCCAUUGUAGUUCCCCAUUAUUGUAGAAGCUCGAAAUAUUUCAUCCAUUAUAGAAGAAGCUCAUUUUUCCAGCAGCCUCUUUCCAGUCAUUCUCCAGCGACAUUUUGUUUUUACAUUUCACCAUUUUAGUAGCUCAUCUGACCUGUGAGAGAUCUAUCCCCGUGGUUUUCUUUUUUCUAGUAUUCUACAAUCAUCAAGCAGUGAGCAGUAGCAUCGACCAUUACUGGUUUAUUACAUCGUUUGCUGAAUAUAGUGGUGAUUAUGGUGGUGAAUGGGAGGAGACUUCAAAAUGUUGGAAGUGGAACUCUCUGAGUAAGGUGACAGUGUCCAUUGUCCUGCGUUGCAAUAGUACAUAUGACGACAUGGUUGAGGGAAUUAUUGAAUGCAGGGAAUUAAAUUGUGAACCGAGCAACUUGAUCAUUAGUUAUGGAUGAAUGCUAAGGGAAACAUCCAUCCAUCUUUCAUAACAAAUGAUAGGCACGUGGGGUUGUACAUGCUUGAUGUUGUCCCUGAUGGUUCUAGACUAGUUUUCUGGGUUAAAGUUGUUGAGAGGCAUGAAGAAGAAGAAGGUUCAACACCAUUAGGGUGGCUUGGGUGGGGGGGUUUGUCCCUAGAAAAUGCUUGAUAUAAAUAUUAGAGAAAGGGAAAUCCAUUCAUUAGAAAGCUCGUGCUGCUUCACAAAACAUCAAGAAAAAAGUGAUUGUAAACUCAGUGAAAAAAGUGACACCAAGUUCAGGGAGCUUUCUCAAAAAAUAGCAAUCCCUUGAAAAGGGGAGAUGACUGCUAGAAUAUAUUGUGUAUCAUAUCUUGAGUUGUCAGUUUGUGAGACUAGCAAUUUAUUGCUGAUUAGAGCAUUUUGCUUCAUUUUGUUUUGGGGGUGGGGGGUGGGGGUUCCCACCCAGUGUUCAAUACCCGCAUUGGGGCUCGAGUAAAUCCGGAUUCGCGCCGGAAUGUCUCACAGUGGGGUAAAGCGCUCCGUAAUAAAUGAAACUCGGUAACCAAGGGAACUCGAACGGAGUCCUGAUUAAGGAGUAUGGAGUACAUAGCACUCCACCAUAACCCUUGCUCGUAGCAUAUUGCUAUUCUGCUUAUUUUAAUUGCCAGUUUGUGCUUUUGAUGAGUUUUGUUCAGAGAUUUCUUUUUAACAUCAUCUCCUCUUUUUUAUCAAAAGCAUGAAGUCACAAAGUUUGACUUCAUCUCAGUGAUUGUUUUGUUUCAUUUACUUUAUUUAUCCUUCAGUACAUGAUCAUUGAUAAUUUUGGUGGUUGGGAAUGUUACUUCAAAGAAGUGGUAAUGUUCUUUAAAGCAAAACCCCCCCAUCAAGUGCCUUUUGUUGCAUUUCCUUCUUCUAUGUAUCUUAACUUUUCCCCUUAUGCUGUUUAGAACAAUGCCAGAAUUAAUUCAUUUUAUCUUUUUAGGGAUGAGACUGGUAUUUCUUUGUGAAUGCAUUUAAUAUAAUUGCUCAAUGUCUUGCAUUCUUUCUUAUCAACUAGUGUUCUUCAACAGGCAGAUAAGAGAGAUGUGGUUGGUUUGCAGGAACAGGUAAUCCCUUAGUAAAUCUGUUAUCUGGUCCUUGAAUAUGUUUUCGGCUGUUAACUUACUUCUGAAUUUUCAGGUUUUUGUUGGGAAAGUGAUUGAGCUUCAUGAUAAAUAUUUGGCAUAUGUGAAUAACUGUUUCCAAAACCACACACUUUUUCACAAGGUAUGUGUUGGAGCAAAGGAUAGUUGUCUAAUUUAAUUGUUCUACUCUGUGCAUUAGGUCUGUGCAUCAGGGUAAAAGUAAAUUACUAACAUAUGUCCUCUUUGUCACUUUCUAGGCACUUGAAGAAGCUUUCGAACUUUUCUGCAACAAGGGUGUUGCUGGUAGCUCAAGCACUGAACUUCUUGCCACAUUCUGCGACGUCAUUCUCAAAAAAGGAGAGAGUGAAAAAUUGAGUGAUGAAGCCAUGGAAGAGAUAUUGCAGAAGGUGAGCUCUUGCUCUAUAGAUCCCCUUCUCUUCUUUUUCUCAAGAGCAUCUGCUUUUUCUUCGUACUAAUGGAGCAGGAGAAAGCUGAUAAUAGAUCUCACUUGCAGGUGGUAAAGCUGCUAGCUUAUAUUAGUGAUAAGGACUUGUUUGCAGAGUUCUAUAGGUAGAGUUACCUCUACUGUGUAUCUCAACCACUACUUGAAUAGUUGCUUCUUCUCUGUUACAAGUUUAUGACUUCCGUUUUUUUCCAGGAGAAAACUAGCCCGGCGGUUGUUAUUUGAUAACAGUGCCAAUGAUGAACAUGAGAGAAGUGUCCUAAGAAAGUUGAAGCAGCAGUGUGGGGGACAGUUCACAUCAAAGAUGGAGAGAAUGGUAAGCUAUCCAGAUCAAUUAUGCUGAAUUUGAAGCUAUGUUCUCUGGUGACAUUUUUCUUCUCUUCUUAUAGGUCACAGAUUUGACAUUGGCAAGGGAAAAUCAAGGCAACUUUGAGGAGUAUUUGAGCAAUAAUCCAAUAGCAAAUCCAGGAAUUGACUUGACGGUGACUGUCUUGACUACUGGCUUCUGGCCUAGCUACAAGUCUUUUGAUCUCAACCUCCCAGCAGAAAUGGUAUAUCAUAUCAAUAUGUUAAUUAGCAUUAUGUUGAUUUUAUCUUGGUUUUGACCCUUGUUCCUCUUGCUGAAGUUCUUAUCUUUCGGCAAGGAAUGAUGCAUGUUUUUUUGCUUGAAUCAUUUUUCUUCUCAAACGUCCUUUCAUUGAUUCAUUUUAUGCUGCGCAUUGUCAGGUUAGGUGCGUUGAAGUAUUCAAGGAGUUUUAUCAAACAAAAACGAAGGACAGGAAACUUACGUGGAUAUACUCUUUGGGAACUUGCAACAUAAAUGGAAAUUUUGAGCCGAAGACUGUUGAGCUCGUUGUCACUACUUAUCAGGUUGAUUUUUGGCUUACUUUUUGAAAUCGGAUAGGCUUAGUUGAUUUGAAAUAUUGGUAUUAUGUUAUCAAUGAGAAAACGAGAUUGAGACUUCUUCCUUUUUCGUAGGCUUCUGCUCUGUUGCUCUUUAAUGCAUCAGAUAGAUUGAGUUAUCAGGAAAUCAUGACGCAAUUAAACCUAUCAGAUGAUGAUGUUGUUCGGCUUCUUCAUUCCCUUUCAUGUGCGAAGUACAGGAUUCUCAACAAGGAGCCAAGCACCAAAACAAUUUCUCCGACUGAUAUCUUUGAGUUCAACUCAAAGUUCACUGACAAAAUGAGGAGGAUCAAGGUAUAAUUAAUGAUGAGUAAGGCUAGCCUUUCUGCUAUGAAUUGUUGCACUACAUUACUGACCUUUUAAGGAUAUCGUUGUAAUGGUAUGCAGAUACCUCUCCCUCCUGUCGGUGAGAAGAAAAAGGUAAUUGAAGACGUUGACAGGGAUAGGCGGUAUGCUAUAGAUGCUUCAAUUGUGCGUAUUAUGAGGAGUCGUAAAGUAAUUGCCUACCAGCAACUGGUUGUGGAAUGCAUUCAGCAGUUGGGACAGAUAUUCAAGGUAUCCCCAGGAUAAACUUCUACUUCUCAAUUUUAAAGAUCGUUUUUCCAGUUUAACUGAGCUAAUUACUUUGUUUUGAAUACCCCAUAGCCUGAUGUCAAAGCUAUCAAGAAGAGAGUCGAAGAUUUGAUAAGUAGAGAAUACCUAGAGAGGGACAAAGAUAACCCAAAUUUGUUCAAGUACUUGGCAUGAUUUGUGCUGAUCAUAAUACUUGGAGAAACAGGCCGCCCAAGAUGAACUUCUUGGACCUUUGAUUGCCUUGCAUCAGGAGCUUGAAACAUUUUGUACAAAUGGACAAGAGCUUGAAACUCUCAUAUACUUGAGAUGUGAUUGCCUUAACUUCUUCCAAUCUUAUAUGGCCCUUUCACUUGCUCUAUUCUGUGUUUUGUUGGCUACCUGUUUGAGUAAACGUAAUAUCCUAGUCAACAGCUUACCCUCCCUAGAUUCAGCACAAUGGUAUUUACUUUUAGUACAUGCUCUGCAAUUGUACUUUGUUGGUUCUUUGUAGAUUGUGAUUUGGACCUUGGUGGUCCUUGUGGGGUUAUCUUUUAACCUUGUGCAAGUUUAUUGGAUCUGGGCCCUCAUGUUUCAACAGUUCUCUCUCUUGAAUGAAUCACUUCCUAAUUUUUAGGUCCAUUAUCCCAAACUUUGUAGACGUGAAAAACUUGUAGCUUCGGAAUGUCAUUUAGGUCAGAAUAUAAAUCGUAUUGCUUUGUAGAUUCGAAGAUACCAGGUCGACAUAGUAACACUCAUAAAGUUACUUAAUUAUGUUAUAUAUAAUUACAAAACUAGCUAGUAUUAAUACUAUAAGUUUACAUAAUCUGGGCAAGUUUGUAAUGGUUUUUGAUCCGACACCAAUUAUCCUUGAGCUUAGAGCCAAAUCUUAGGCAGGUGAAAGCAAAUGAGUAUUGGAGUUGACAACCUUUUUAGGUGGCAAAAUGGCUUUUUGCGUAGUAUCCGUAAUUUUUUUACUCUUCAAGUAAGCCUUUACAUGGAAGAAGAAGGUAUCUCAUCUUCACUAGUAGAAUACAAUUUCAUAUCUACGUUUGAGAAUAUAAAAAAGAUUCUGAAUGUUGUGAGGGUGAGAUCAAUAUUUAUUCACUUAGCUUGUCCUUAAUCUCCAAUUUCACAAAUUUAACUUUAACUUUACUACAAACACAUUUUUUGGCCAAACAAAUGUCAUCAAACAUGACAUUUAAUCUUGAAUGACAAUUCAACAUUUGGAGGGUAGAACAAUAAUGAUUAGUUUGAACAAUGAAGGUAUGGUGUCUCCUAUGAUAAUAAGUGAAGCUCAGCUCAUCAAAUUACCAUCUGAAAAACUCGGAAGUAUGUAUUAGGUAGAUAAAUAAAUAAAAAUUCUUCCCUAUAUAGUAUAAUCCAUUCGUUUCAAUUUGUUUGAUCUACUUUCCUUUUUAGUUUGUUUAGAAAAAAAUGACUUUUUCCUUUUUUAGCAACUUUUAUUUCAACUUUCCACAUGACAUGUUUAAGACCACAAGAUUAAAAGAUAAUUUUGAUAUAUUUGACAGAUCUUUAAUAUUACGUCACAAGAUUCAAAAGUCUUUUUUUACUUAAACUCCAUAUCAAGUCAAAAUAAGUCACUCAAUUUGAAACGGAAUGAAGUAUAUGUUAUGAACUAUUAAGAUGGUGGAUCUUAAUGUGCAUAUGCACUAGUAUUUGGUGAAUGUCAAUGUUAACAUACACUAGUGAACUUGACUUUUCAAGUUACUUUGUGACUUACAUUGUAUAUGAAAAUCGAUAGAUACAAUUGAAAGUAUAAGAAAACUCUCUUUUCUUCUCCCUAUUUUUAUUGCUCUCUUGUAGUAGUAUUUAUCUUAUUUUUCUAUGAUCUCCAUGUGUGGCAUGAUAAAAAAUCCUAAAAAAGAUUGAUUGAGACUCCCUUCACGGUUCCACGAAGAUCUCUAGAUAUUUGUCCAGAAUAAGUAUGAUCUUCGAUCUACGUAUCUAAGAGCAGCUCAAACAAAGAAGAGUCUGGUGUGGCCUGAAUUCGAACAUGGCCGUCCAUUUGUUGUUAGGUCCAAAAAUGGCGUCGUGUGAGGGCGUCGCUGUACCCCUUAAUGAAUUGAAUGGUCCUUCGACCUUUGUCUGAUUCUGAUGACCGGCUCAUAUUUCAUGAGACUGGUUCACUAUUACUUUGAAAAAAAUCAUGCCCUCGCCUUAUAGUCUAGAGACAUUAAGCUCCUUUCCUUCGCUAUUAGGAAAGUAAGAAACUUCUAUUAGCGUCGAAUCUUAAGUCGAAUUGAUUGUGUUAUGUGCAACGUCCAUAAAUGAUGAUACAUUAAUAUCCAUUGAUUUAAACUCCUCCCCCUUCAUGACUAUGCAUUUAAUAUUUCAUGUUUUGUGUUUUUUAAUAAUACAUCUUAUUUGUACUUAUAUAGGAAAAUAAUAAGGUCAACUUAAUAAUCCUAAUGGGCCAUAAAAGCAUCCCUUACGGGUUGAUCCGAAUUUUUUACGUCUCUCACUCACACAUAAUGAGAGUGUUUUUCCAAUUUGAGAACAUAUUUUCAUCUCCACAAUUAUUCAUAUAGGAAAUUAGACCGCGCAACCAACAUAUUGUGAGAGCUAAGUGAUAUAUAUCUGUUAGGAAUAUAUAAUCUCUCUUCGAGUAUAAACCUGCAAGUACAUCAUAAAGUAUACAGUACUCCAUGUCAUAUGAAUUAUAUUUGAUACAAUCUCUGAGGUUUUAGGGUAUUGUUUGUAGAAGAAGCAAGAAAAUCUCAGACGGACCACCGUCGCCAAAAUGUUGAAUUUUUUUUUAUUUGGGUCGCCAAAAAAGACAGCACGAGUUCAUCUUUGGAGGAAAAAAGAAGAGAAAGAGAAGCUAGCGAAGAAGUUACGAGCAAAAAAGAACAAGAUGAAGGUGGAUGGUUAGGACAAGAAGAAGAAAGGUGCAAAUGAAUUUCAAGUUGGAAAGAAAAAAUUGAAGACAAGGAUGACUCCAUUAGCCAAAGCUAAAGCUACACAAGCAAUGGAGAUUGAAAAAAAUAAGAUUUUGUUGUAAUCAAUUCAGGUGUAUUUGGUAACUUAAAUUGAAGUUGUUUACGUUUUUCUUCUGCAAUUUAUGAAAAAACAUGAAAUUUGUUCAAAAAAAUAUCAAAGAAUGUGGAUUGGGGUGAGUCUUCGAAUCCAUUGAAAAAAAGAGCAACACCGAAAGAUGAUUCAGAAAUUCUCAAGUCUAAGAAGGACAAAUUCUAUACCAAUUUCAUGUCAAAAGUAAACACUGGUUCAUAUCAUAUUCGUACCAAAAGAAUACCAAUUUCAAAUCAAUUCUAAUUAGUAAUUUUAUUUGUUAUAUAAAUAGUAUACCAAUUGUAUAUACGUUUUUUUUAAUUAUCAAUAUCUGUACCAAUUUUAUAUCAAGAGUGAAUAUAACAACGUCAUACCAUUAUUAUGUAAAUAUUAUUUAAUAGGAACUAACAAUAUACCACUUCAUACUAUUAUGUACUAGUUUUUGAGAACGUGCGUUGUACAUUUGUCUCAUAUAAUUAUUAUCAAACAAUUCUAAUGAUCGACCAUUUCAACAACUUUUUGAUCUUCUUCAUUCUUUAACCUCUGAAUGAAAUUUAACUGUGAAAGGUAGAAAUGGAGGUAGAAUAUUGAAGAGGAGCCAAUUUUUAGCUGCUUCCAACAUUACAAGACAUUAAUUAAGAUAUAGAAACCUGAAUUCAUUAACAAAAUGUUAUAUCACCAAAAUAAUAAUUUUGACAGUGUUUGCUAAGAUUAGAGCCAAUAGAACUUGGGACAGAAUAGCCCUGUAAAAAGAGCUCAAACUAUAAAAACAAAAACCUUUUCUACCACUUCAUUUAGCUAAGAAUCAUCAAAAGAAUGCAAAUAUUUUGGGACGACAUUCACAUGUUCUUAUAAAUGAGUUUUGUGCUUGAAACAAUUUCAUCAAGUUGUUUUGCUUGCUUGGAGACUAACACCCAAGUAGUUUGUAAUGAGACCCGUGAUACCAAACAUCAUGGCCAUUGAGAUCUGCUUAAGAUCAUUUUCCAUACUCCUUAUGUUAGCAAGAGAUUGCACACUGAAUAUAAUAAGAAGCCACGAGCAAAUCUUUUAUCUAAUAACAUGGCACCAAAGACGCCGAAGAUGACGGCUAUGAAGCCAUAGUAAUCUAUAGGAACAUCUUGUGGACCAACCAAUGAAGGCUUGUACGGUUUCAUCGCCAUAUUCGAGUAAAAAUAUUCAAUGAGAUUUGAAAAUUCAAUUGCUCUUUGAGCGACUUAAAUAAGGGACCUUAGGUAAGGGAAGAUGAAAAGAAUCAAAUUAUUAAAGAUUUUUUAGCCAAAAAUUAAUAAGACUCAUCAAUUUCGAACUUAAUUGUUUGACCUUUGAUCUUCAUCAGUUUGCUCACAAACAAGAAAUGAAAAAGCAAUUGAAGAAGUAUCAUGCCUCGAGAAAAGGAAGAGUCUAUUGACUUAAAUCAUAAUUAUGAGUAUUUUUAAUGCAAUAUUAUUAAUGUAGAACAAAUAAUUGCUUUAUAUAUAUAUAUAUAAAUGGUGAAAUGGUAAUUCAACUUUUGACUUGAGUUCUUUCCACUUAUAAUAUAAUAUGAUAUUAUGAUACUUCUAUACCAAUUUCAUGUCAAAUUUAAACACUGAUUCAUACCAGAUUCGUACCAAAAGAAUACCAAUUUCAAGUCAAUUGUAACUAGUAAUUGUGUUUUGUUAUAUAAAUAGUAUACCAAUUGCAUACAAGUUUUUUGCCAAUUUCUAUACCAAUAUCAUACUUAUAAGAGUGACAUUGGUUCAUACAAGAUUCAUAUAAAAAAGAAUACCCAAUUCAAACAAAUUAAUUGUAAACACUCUUUAAUUAUAAACAAAUUUGACCUUUUUAGACGUGAAAAAUUUAGAAGGAUCUCCACUGCUAAUAGAAUGUUAUGCAGUUCUUUUCGCAUAAGAUUAAAAAAUUAUGCCCUUUUUUUUUUUGUUCCAUAUCAUUUUUUACUGUUUUGUUGGUAUACAAUUAGAACGAAAAAUUAUAUACAAUGAUGACUAUUGUUUUGAGAUAAGAGAGAAAAAGACAUAUAUUGAGUAAGAAAAAUAUCUGUAAAAAAAUCUGUUUUGAAAGAUAAUUAACAGGUGAGAGAAAAGGCAGUAACUGUUUUGAAGUAAACUAGGAAAAUAAAUAUUCUUUUUGUUAUGGCUCUUCUUAUUUUAUGCCUAUUAUUAAUUAUCAUUACUAUUUUUAAUUUGUUUGUUAAUUUAUAUUCCGUUUUUUCUAACUUUUUUUUAUUUAACAAAAUGUUAUAUCCCCUAAUUGCUUAAUGUUAAAACUUAAAAAAUAAAAAAUAAUGUCAUAACUGAUAACUAAUAAUAAUUAGUCUUAUAUAUGUCAAUUAUGUUAUAAAAUCAAGCUCAGAAUAAUAUAGUUAUAAAGAGAAGAAGGCAAGAAAUGUAGAUAGAAGAGAGAACUUUUCUUCUUAUUCAAAUGUGUCUUUCAAAUGGUGAGUGAUAUCUCUAUUUAUAGUGUUGAGAUAUCACUCCCAAAAGUCAUCUAACUAGUAGAUACAUAGUUAUCCUAAAUGUUCUUAUCACCUGGAAGCACCCAUACAUGAAUCCAAUUAAUUAUUGGAUAAGUCUAAUGGAUAAUCCACAUGAUACAAUGGAUUUAUAACACUCCCCCUUGGAUGUCCAUAGAUAAUGUGUCUCGUUAAAACUUUACUAGGAAAAACCCAGUGGAAAAAAGCAUAGUGAAGGAAAAAGAGUACACACAUCUCAUAAUACGCUUUGAGUGUUGCCUCGUUAAAAACCUUAUCAAGAAAACUCAACUUGAGACAAGACCAUGGUUAAGGAAACGAGUACAACCGUAUUUCACUCCCCCCGAUGAAAGCCUCACUUGAUAUCUCGAAAACGACGCAUUCCAAUUUUGUAUAUCAACUUCUCAAACGUUGAUGUUGGCAAUGCCUUAGUGAAUAAAUCAGCAAUAUUAUCACUUGAGCGGAUUUUUUGAACUUCUAUCUCACCAUUUUGUUGAAGAUCAUGUGCGAAAAAAAACUUUGGUAAAAUAUGUUUUGUCCGAUCUCCUUUGAUGUAUCCUCCUUCCAAUUGAGUUAUAUAUGCAACAUUAUCUUCGUACAUUGUGGUUGGUAUAUUCUUUUUCAAAAAAAAAUCACACAUUUCCUGAAUAUGGUGGCUCAUUGAUCUCAACCAAGCGCACUCUCAAUUUGCUUCAUGGAUGACUAUUAUUUCUGCAUGAUUUGAAGAAGUGGCUACCAACGGUUGCUUCAAUGAUCGCCAAGAUAUUGCGUGUCUCCACACGUAAACAAAUAAUCUGUUUGAGACCGAGCUUUAUGUGGAUCAGAUAAAUAUUUUGUAUCUGCGUAACCAGUCAGUUCUGACUUGGAUUCAUCGAAAUAGAAUAAACCCAUGUCUAUGGUCCCCCAAAGAUAUCUAAGUAUGUGUUUAACAUCAUUCCAAUGUCUUUUUGUUGGGGAGGAAUUGAAUCUAUCUAGUAAAUUUAUUGCAAAACAGAUAUUUGGUCGAGUAUUGUUAGCAAGAUGCAUUAGUGUCCUGAUUGCACCAAGAUAUGGAGUUUCAUCACCAAUAAGCUCUUCAUCCUUCUUUUGAGAUCAAAAUGAAUUUUUAUUUGUUUCAAGCGAUCUCAUAAUCAUUGGGGUACUCAAUGAAUGUGAUUUAUUCAUGCAAAAUUGCAUCAAACUUUUCUAUGUAUGUUGACUCAUGGACAAAUAUUUCAUUUGUCAAAUUCUUACCAAGACCUUUUCAUUUUUUAUUUUCUUUUCAAACACUCAAUAACUUUUGAAAGCUCCUUAAGAGUGCUAAUGAUGUUCAAGUCAUCAACAUACACAACUAUUAUAACAAAUUCAAAUCCUGAAAAAAUUGCAAGGACAAAUAGAGUCAUUUUUUAAUACCCUUUCUUCCUUGAUUAUUUCAAUCCAUAUAAGGAUUCUCGAAACUUUAUUGAAAAAGUUUCUUUCAAACUUUUAUAUGCUUCAGGCACCGUGAAUGCUUCAAGGAUUUUUAUAUAACCUUCAUUGUCUAGCUACUAGACAUGACAAUUAUUCAUUAUAUGCAUUCAAGUUUUUCAAAUGUUGUUAGAUCAAAACAAACUUCAUUGCAUCCACCAUAGGAGAAAAUAUCUCCAAUUAUAUCAGGAAAUCUGUGAAAAACCUUUAUGCUCCGAGGCACAAACCGUACUUGAUAUCUUACGGUUAUACUAUCACAUAAUAAUUUAUUUGUACCCUACUAACAUUAUACCUUGAUUUAUGGACUAUCAGUAAAAAACGUCACUUUUCUAUGUGAAACAAAAUAUACUUGAAUUAUGCAUUUUAUUUGACCAAUCAUUUAUCAGUCCACACUAUAUGACAUAUUUGAAUUCAAAAUCCGUGUCACAAUUUAUAUCAUUGAGCACUACUUCAUAUCAAAGAUACCGUCGACGGUUAUUUGAUAUAGAUUCCAAUAUGAUAUAACUUAUCGAGAUCUCUUCAUUUUUCAGGUACCUGAACCUUUCCCAAGGUUUUAUAAAGUGUUAUGUCGUGGUGCUCUUUUAUAGCACCUGCCUCAUUAUCAUGAUCAUAUUGAUCAUUUGCUCCUCUCCUUCUUCAAGGAAUUUUACAUUUGGAACCGAUUGGUCUAUUACGCUUCAGGCAUAUCAUAGACUCUGUCCUUCAAGGACUUCUCAUUGAUGCAUUUGCAGCUGAAUUAUAACACUGGGUCAGUAAAUUCAUCUGGCAAUUUAUUUGCAACAUUAUGCAAAUGAAUUAUCCCUUGAACUUCAAGUUCACAUUUUCUUUGAACGAGGAUCUAGAUAAUUCAUAAUUAACCUCGCACAUAAUUUUUAGCUGUCAAUAUCAUCUCUCCCCAUAAUGAUAGAAAAUUUAACAUUCAUAACAUUCAUAAUUUUCAAGUUCACAUUUUCUUUUAACAAGGAUUUAGAUAAUUCAUAAUUAACCUCACACAUAAUUUUCAACUGUCAAUAUCAUCUCUCCCCAUAAUGUUGGAAAAUUUAACAUUCAUCCCAACCUUAUUUGGAAAUUCAUCUUUGUGCGUGGUGGAACAAUUAAAAUCAUAACAGCACAUUCAACGUUUUAGAUGAAAAUUAUUUGGUUCCUGACCUUGAACCAAUUUUUAUAGGGGACCUUUGUUGGCUUGAUGCGUACAAGUGUUGCUACAUGUUAAAUAAAUUCAUCUCAUAUCAAAUUUCUUUUGGGAGAUUUGUUCUCGUAAUCAUUGGUUAGUUGUAAUUGGAGGCAUACAAUUUCUUCUAAACCAACCAGCAUUAUCAAUAUAAUUUCAUAGUUUGGAACUGUGCUCUUAAUUUAACAAUUUGAGCAAACAACCUUACAAACACCAAUUUGUAAGUUGACAACAAAACACAUGUGACCAUCACAUAGAUGCAUCUAUCAUGUGUUGCAAAUGGUCCACAUGGCAGGUGAAUGGGCCCAUAUUCACCUUUUUAUAUGUCUAAAAAAUCUCAAGGAGUACAAUCUCAACCUUAGUUGGUAUAAUGAUAUAAUGAUCAAAUUAUCAGAGAACAAACAAUAUAAGAGAAUUCUUGAAGAAUUUUUUAUUUCUUCAUCAUAUAAGCCAAAUGAUUUCUCAAUUACUUUUGCAUCACAUUUAAACCAGAAUGGUCAACCGAUCAGGCCAACUGAUCUUUAUUUCAAUACACUUAUAAUUUACUUUUGCAUGUGAUUCCAUCAGCAUGCAUAUGUUAGUGUGCAACAAACAAGAGGAAAAAAUGGGUAAUCUUUUACAUAAAUAUUUAUAACCCGUUUUGAUUGUAGUAAUCUGAAGAUAUUAAAACUUUUCAUAAUUUAUAGUUUCAAUAUUUAUUUUCUAUUCAUCCGAAACUUAAAAAGUUUCUUUUGAGACUUACUACAACCCCAAUAUUAUUACUCUGAUAAUAACACAACUCGUUAGAGCUUGCAAUUAAUUUUGUGUACUAUCACAUAUUUCAUGACACCAUCCGUAUGGUGAGCAUCUCCUUCAAGGAGAAAAUUAUAUUAUUACUGUCAUGGUCAAAAUUAUUACAAGCAAGACAUGUUUCUUGCUUUACUUUUGUCGUACCAUAGGUACACAAUCAAUGACAAAUUUGCAUUGCCACACAAUAAUAUUAAUUUGAUCAUGGUCACAACCUUUAUAGACAAGAAUUAUUUCUUUUGCCCUUUCGGUAGUUCACAAACAUACCAUAAUAUUUAUGACCUAUAAACGUACACGACCAUUGGCUAUUCCUGCCAAAUAAAAUUUAUUUAUUCUCUCAAACCUUCCGUAGAGGUGAGUUGUGACAUAUAUCCAAUCCAAAAUAUUUUUAUCAUAUCUUGACUCAUUCACUUUCAGAAUAGUCGAGAAUUCGUGAUUCUUAUCACAAGUCACAUUCUCUUCAAGGAAUGGACCAAUCAUUUGUAUGUGCUUCAUAAAUCUGCAUUAUAAGCUUAUUGUCAUACCUUUCACUACAAGAAAAAUGUGGAUUACAUGGGGAUUUUUCUAGGGAUUGCAUAUGAAAAUUCGCAAGAAACUAAGUUUUCUGCGAAUUUUCCUACCAAAAAAAAUUCGAUGGUAAAACCUUCCUAGAUAAUAUUUCUUGCGAAUUUUAAAAUCCCCAAGUAAUUUACCUAUGGAUUUAUAUUUCGUGGGUAAAUUACUUGGGAAUUUUCUUGCAAAAAAAUAUACCGAUUUUUUUUUUUAAAAGUUAACAAAAAAGAAUUUUUCUAGACAAUAUUAAUUAAUAAUUAGUAUCUCCUAAUUAAUUAUUUUGUUCUGGAACCCGAUAUACUUAGGACACCCCCAUACACAUAGUUACCUACUCAUAAUUGCACUAACUUAAUCCUAGUCCACCACCCAAUGCCCAACCUAUAUGUAAUUACUUUAUUCUACCAAUGCUCUAACUAAUAGCAUUAUAAAUGCUAAAGAUCAUGUGUCUUCCACCGAUGUGGUAAAAAGUACCACUAGCAUUACGAUAAAUUUUGUUGUUUUUCUUCAAUUUGAUUAAUUUUUAAAGCUAAAUUUUAAUUAAAAUUAAUUGAGUAUUAAAAAUACAAUUUAGAUAUUGAUUACACAAAAAGUACUAUAAAGUCAUCUCAUAUUAAUAUGAGAUAAAAAUAUAUCUUAAAAAUGUUGAGUAAAAUUCAUGUGAUUUAGCUUUUCAAAAAUAAAGCAUGACAACUAUAUAUUUCUAUUAUAUAGAAAUGUGAUGAGGAGGACGACCAAGGGUAAUUUCGUCAAUUUACUAAAAAACUUUGUUUAAAUUCUUUGAAUCUCAUUUACAAUAGAAUGUUUUUCUCUUUAAGAUUAAUCAAAUCAAAAUUUAAUUAUUAUAGUAUAUGACCUAUUUUAUUUUUCAAGUUAUCAAUUAACACUUAAUAUUAUUAUUCUUUUGUCUCUAAUAAGAAUCGAAAAAUACAAAUUAAUACAUUAAUCAUGUUUUGAUCAUAUAACUUAUUGGUGAUCAGAAAGAUAAAUUAAUUGAAAUUAAUUAAAAUUUUGAAAAAUUUGACAAUAAAAAAUGCAUAAUUAUAAUACGGAAAAUUGCAUAAUUUGAAACUAUAUGCAAUCUUUUCAUUAAAUUAAUACAAAUAAUAAAACAAUACAUAUUAUAUUAUAACUAUAUAUUCAUUUUACCAAUAAAAAUAAAUAAAUGUUAAAAUUUCUAUUAUCCAUUAAGAUAAAUUAUCCAUAGACUUUACCAAAAAAAUAAAUAAAUAACACUAUCCAUAUAACUUCCUAUAAUUUAAUAUUAGGAAAAGUUUUACCAACGACUCUUUUUCACUUAAAUAAAAUAUUGAGAAAUAAGAAUUAAACCACCCCAAAUAAGGAUAUUCGUGAGAAUGAUCCACAGUAAAAUUAAUUUAAAUUUUGAAAAAAUUACACAAAUAAAUCUUAAAACUAAAUUAAUUAUCUAAAAAUGGCCAACCCAAACUAAUUCCCGAAAUGGUCAAUCGGAUGUGCCCUUUUUGUUAUGAAGUUAACUUUUGUUAAUAUUCUUAAAUCCUCUUUAUUUGAGGUAAAAUAUUCAUUUAUCAGGUAAAAUUACUUUAGAAAAAAUUAUUUGUCUACUACGCUAAAUUGUUCUCCUAAUUUUAAUGAACAUAAAGACAAGACAUAACGUCAAAAUUUUUUUUUCAUCCUUUAUCACUGUGUAAAGAAUGAGAUAAUUCAUUCUAAUUUUCAUCAAGUAGGUCAUUAUUUCUGUUUGUUAAAACAUCUAUAAAACAAAUUUUAAGUAUAUUCAAAAUUAAUCUAUAGAUGGAUCAUCAGACUUUAUUGCUUCAUAUAGUUUAUGAAAAUUGUUAAUAUAUUGACACUCAUAAUUUUAAUCUUUUCUCUUGAAUAAGUUAUAUAUAAAAUAGAAAAAAAUAUCAUUAAUUUAAUUAUUUGAUUCAAAUAUUAUGUUUCACAUGAUGUUAAAAAAUCACGGAAUCAUAUGAUAUUUUAUUGUUCUUUCCUAUCAUGUUUAUUUCAAAAUAUCAUAAUAAUUUUUUCCCCGAAAACUAAUUAAAUUUCUAUUAUAAAUUUAUAUAAAAUUGUAAUAUUGGGCCCGUAACGGGCCUUUCAUUAUCUAGUAUAUAUAUAUAUAUAAAUAAAUCACUACCACCCAACAUAUCAUGAAAAAUUUAUGCCUACACUUUCUAUGAGAUAAUAUCUAUAACGAAGCAUAUUAAAUGUAGACAAAAUUUACAUUAUGCAUACAAAGUUCUUAUAAAUAAAUAAUUGAAAAUAUAAAUACACUUAUAAAUUUAAUGUGCAAGGAAGUUAUAAAUCAAUAAUUGAUAGUAUAUCUUAUUAGGAAAUUUUGUAUUUAUAAUUUUAAUUUAUCUUUUAAUAAUUAUAUUUUAAUAUACUUAAUUUUAUAUUUGGAUAUAAUAUCAUUUAAUAACUUACUAUAGAGAAUUUUUAUUUUUAUUUUUUAAUGCUAGUAAGAAUAUAAUAUACCCAUUGGAUAUACAAGUAAAAAUUAUUUAUUUUUCUUUUCAUAUAAUUCUAUCAACAAGGGGUAAUUAAACUUUUAUGAUAGUUAUUUUUUGUUGGAUAAAUGACUAUCCAUAUAAUUUUAAUUUUUUCUAUCUUUCAAAUAAAAAAACAAAAUAAAAAAAAAUGGUAUUAUUGGUUUUUAGUGAGAUGAAAUAUUAAUUAUAUAUAAGUUAAAAAUAUUUAUCCUAAAAUUUAUGGUAAUGUUCCAACACCGUAUUAAUUUGACAAAUAUUUAUGAUAGUUACUUUUCUAUUGGAUAAACAACUACCCAUAUAAUUUUAAUUCUUUGUAUUUUUCAAAUAAAAAAAACAAAAUAAAAAAUGGUAUCAUUGAUUUUUAGUGAGAUAAAAUAUUAAUUAUAUAAAAAUAUUCAUCCUAAAAUUUAUGAUAAUGUUCUAACACCGUAUUAGAUUAAAAUAUUUAUGAUAAUUAUUUUUCUAUUGGAUAAAUAACUAGCCAUAUAAUUUUAAUUCUUUGUUUCUUUCAAAUAAAAAUUAAAAAAUAAUAACAUUGAUUUUUAGUGAGAUUAAAUAUUAAUUAUAUAUGAGUUAAAAAUAUUCAUCCUAAAAUUUAUGAUAAUGUUCCAACACCUUAUUAAAUUGAUAUUAUUGCAUAAUAAUUUAUUAAACCUAAGAAUAGAAUAAUUAUUUAACAAUAAAUUUCAUUCUAGUGAUCAUUUGUCCUUUUUAUACUAUUAUAUUUUUUUUAAUUUUGGUAAAUAUAUUUUUAAGAAAAUAUUCCCCGAGGAUUCCUAAUUUACAAAAAUUCUUAGAUUUCAAUAAAAAAAAUUCAAUUAAAUUAUAUUAAAAAUAUUCAAGUUUGCAUAUUUCCAAGUAAAUCCCUUAAAAAAUCUCAAAUCAAAUUCACAACAAUAGAAUCCCCAAGUAAAUUCUUCAAGUAAGAAAAUUCCUAAGUAAAUCCCCAACAAAAUUCAUAGAACAUGAAUCUCCAGGUAAUACCACAUAAAAAAUAUUUCUAGAUAAAUUUCCAAGUAAUUAUUUGCAAAUAAAUUUAUCUAGGAAUUUUCUUGCUAGAAGAUAAAAAAAAAUCAUUUUUUUAUUACUUGCGAAUAUACCUAUGAAAAUAAUACUUACAAAUUAUUUGCCGCAAAUAAUUCCCUAGGUAAUAAUUUUGCGAAAAUGGUGCCAAAUUUAUCCACCAAUUUUUCUGGAAGACUAUUUUUCGUAGGUAAAAAAGUCUAUAAUUUAGGAAUUUCAUAUUUCCGCAUGAAAACUCGUAGGAAAUUUCUGCAGAAAUAAUCCCCAAGUAAAAUUCGCCGGUAAUUUACCGUUUUCUAGUAGUGUUUGCAGUUUAUCAUUUUUGCACAACAUGUUGGGAAAGACAAGGCACUAACAAAAAUAUCAGACAGGAUAGUAGCGGAAUAAUACCCAAAUCUAAACUUUCCCUUUUAAUUUGAACUAAGAGGAGACAAACCAAAUCAAACAAUAUGAAGAAUGGACAACAAGUAUAUCAACCAAACUAAAGCAAUAUGAUAAGAACAAGCUAAUCACACAAGACACAACGAUUUACGUGGAAAACCCUUCGAUGUGAAGAGUAAAAAACCACAGGACCUAAAGCUCCACUAUAAACACCAAGAGUUACAAAAUUGUUCUCUAAAAUUGGCCACAAAACAAGCGCCAAACAACGAGCAACAACAAAUCAAGAUUGCACCAAAACUGGAGAAUUAAAGAAGAGAUUUCACCCCAAAACGCGCUACUGUUCACGCCCUCAAACCAGAAGCUACAGACCUCCAAAUCCGAUCUUCACCGUUGAAUUGUAAGAACCAGAUUCUGAGAACUCCCAGUUAAAAUUUGAGCACGAUCCAAUGGUUAACGAAGCGGAAAACUCUGUCUGAAGAGGACUGCCUGAGCAGAAAAUUUCCAGAAGCAAAAACGGAAUUUUUCCCUUUUUCUCUCAAUCUCUAAAACGAAUCUCUCUUGAUUUUUCUCUCUUGUAUUUCUGAAAAUAAGACCAAAUAAGCCUUAUAUAUGCCACAUAAUAUUUUGGGGUUUUAUGGGCUAAAGUGAGCUGGUCCUAAUAAGACUUUUAUUUUAUUCCACAUAGGAAGGGAAAGAAAAGAUCCUAAACCCAACACAACACACCUCAACGUCACUUUGAAAGGUCAAGUGUACACACUUUAUCUUCCUUUCUUUUGAUGGAAAAUUUAUAAACUUAUCAAAUUAUUAGGUCGACAACCUUUCAUACCAUUUUGAUAAUAAAAAUUACCUUCACAUUUUGAAGGACUAUUUGGAGAACCCACAAUGUUCUUCAUUUAGCCAUAGCGAUGACUAUCAUGAUUUCUUUUUUCUCAUGCCCAUAUUCAUUGUACAAUCACAAUAAUCAUUGUCAUCUUUCAGACUUAUCAUGUACUGCUACCACAUUCACACAAGAGAAUGGAGCAAACCAAUUGAGCAAAAUGCAUGACUUCUCAUAAAAAUACAAUUAGUUUGUCAUAGUCAUCAUUAUGGUGCAUUAGAACUUAAAUCCAAUGUCUUAUCCAUAUAAAGCCGUCUUAGGUCAUAAAUCGAUGGGACAUGAACCCAACGUAUUAUCAUCAUGGUGCAUCAAAAUUCAAAUUGAUGUCGUAUCCUCUUGGUGCAAUAGAACUUUAAUCUACCGUCUUACCCUCCAACAUUUUUUUCAUUAUGUGCAUCCGAACUUUAACCUGAUGUCUUACCAUUUUAGUGCGAUGAGACUUGAAUCCAUAGUCUUACCCUGAAUUAAUAAAUAAUAGUCCAAAAUGAAAUGGAAUUAACCUCUUGUGUCCCAUCAUAUCGUUCACGUCACUGCUUACCAGAGACAAACAUAUGCCUCUCCCAAUUUAUUUAUUUUUUCAAGCUAAAAGAAAUUGUUUUCUCCGGUCUACUCCAAAAAAAUGAAAUUAAUCUCAUAGUUUAGAGUAAUGAUUAAUAAAAUAAUAAUAGAAAAUAGAAGCAUAGUUUUCUUCUUAAAUGGCAAAUUAAAACUUUUUUUUUUGAGACGUAUACGCUUAGUGAAUGAAAUAACUGUGCAAACCAUAUAAGCAUACACAAAAUUUAUUAAACUUAGAAAAGGAAAACAAAUAAAAAGGAUGACAAAAAAUCAUUCAUUAAACAAAACAUAACAAAUUAUAAAAUUUUCACUUCAUUAUUGUAGCCUUCAACCAUUAAAGAGCUUUAAGCCCAAAUAUUUUGAUAACAUAUGAGCCGUUGCUUAGGGAACGGAACCAACAAGUGCUUUUUAUCGCAUUUCUUCUUUUAUGUAUUUUAAACUUUUUCCCUUGUGCUGGUUAGAACAAUGUCAAAAUUAAUUAAUUUCACUUUUUUAGGAUGAUUCUCUAAAUGAUGAGACUGGUAUUUCUUUGUGAUCAACUAGUGUUCUUCUUCAACUGGCAGAUAAGAGAGAUGUGGUUGGUUUGCAGGAACAGGUAUAUGUUUUCAGCGGUUAACUUGCUUCUGAAUUUUCAAGUUUUUGUUCGGAAUUUGGGAUAUGUGAAUCUCUUGCUCUAUAGAUCCCCUUCCCUUCGUCUAGAACAUCGCCUUUUUUUUCUUCCUACUAUUGGAGCAGGAGAAAACUGAUAAUAGAUCUCACUUGCAGGUGGUUAAGCUGUUAGCUUAUAUUAGUGAUAAGGACUUGUUUGCAGAAUUCUAUAGGUAGAGUUACCUCUACUCUGUAUCUCAACCACUACUCGAAUAGUAGCUUCUUCUCUGUUAUUUGAUAAAAGUGCCAAUGAUGAACAUGAGAGAAGUAUCCUAACAAAGUUGAAGCAGCAGUGUGGGGACAGUUCACAUCAAAGAUGGAGGGAAUGGUAAGCUAUCCAUAUCAAUUAUGUUGAAUUUGAGGCUAUGUUCUCUGGUGACAUUUUUCUUCUCUUUCUAUAGGUCACAAAUUUGACAUUGUCAAGGGAAAAUCAAGCCAGCUUUGAGGAGUAUUUGAGCAAUUAUCCAAUAGCAAAUCCAGGAAUUGACUUGACGACGACUAUCUUGACUACUGGCUUCUGUCCUAGCUACAAGUUUUUUGAUCUCAACAUCCCGGCAGAAAUGGUGGAGGAUUGGGUGGGUAGGAGGAGACAAUAAACUUAGAAUGUCACUUAUGCAAAUCGGUUUCGCUAUAUUCAUUAGGAAAGUAGUUUUCCAAGUGAAAAGAUUUUCCAAACAUUUGACCAAUCAAAUAUAGAAAAUCUGGAAAACAUAGACUACAUUCUCAAAAAAUGAAAAAAGUAAAGAGUCCUCAAGCACUUGAGGUAAAAUGCAUAAAACCCAAAAUUAGUAGGGAUAAAUUUGCAAUAACCCUGAAUGAAAAUCCAAGAAAUUACAGCGGAAAAAAUGGACAUAAUUAGAAGUAUAAGGGGGUUUUCAAGGAAACAGGAAAACCACAUAAAAGGGAAAAGAGAGAUUCACAUCUCACCGGAUACUCUUCUUGUCAUUAAUGGUUCCUGGCAGCUCCGUCUUGUGCCGUCAUCGGAUCUAGACUCUCCGAUCACUCUUUCGGCGAAUUCCUUUGCUCUCCGGUGACUUCACAGGUAUAUUUUCCGGUCAAAUUGUGAGCUCUGAUUCGAUGUACACUGUUCCCACGUAUGUAUAUAUCUAUGAUACCUAGUUGAUGUGAUUGUUUUGGUUUAAUAGUUUCUUCCUUUGCUUCAUAUUGAUCCUAUUAUUGAUUUUGUUUCCAGUAGCUAUUGAAAUUGUGUUUUUUUGUUGUGGUUGAUUUUGCGUUCUUCAAAGCUGUGAUUGAUGGACUAGUCUUAUGUUGUUUUUUUAUUUCUCUAUAGUUUAUUCUGAGCAUGACUGUUUUGUCCUUUUUGAAGUUAGGUAUAGUGGAGAUUUAGUGUUCAUUAUUGGUAGGGUUUGAGUUUAAUUUUUGGUUCAUUCUAUGUGCAACUGACGACAUUCAUGCAAACUAGAAAUUCAAUACAAACAACUAAUUCCAGAACUUUGUUUUCUUUUGUUAACUGCCUGAAACUUUAGACUUUUCAGCUAUGUUGCUCAGAAUCUUCAAAAAUGUCGACGAGUGCGUGUCGGAUUAGUAAAUUUUUGAAGGAUCCAAGCAACUUAGCUUUUCAGUGUCUUUGAUGUGUAUUUUCUUUUGGUAUUCUCAGUUUUAUUUACU
rnacentral:lncRNA from 1 species